rnacentral:snRNA from 1 species
UUAUGUGAGGGCGAUCUGAGUCUGACAUCUGUCACCCCAUUGAUCGCUAGGGUUGAUUUGGCUGGCGAGGCGGGUGUCCCCUUCCUCCCUCACCACUCCAUGUGCGUCCCUCCCGAAGCUGCGCACUCAGUCGAAGAGGAUGACCUUCCCUGAAUUGAGGAGGACCGGUCUUUGGUCAAGGGUCUACGAGUAGCUACGCUCCCCAGCUACAACCUCCAAACCAGCUCUCAAGGUCCAUUUUCAUUUCUGUAACAAUUUCUAUGAUACCUGAGGCUAGGUAUUUUUACAAUUAAUUAAAGUUGGAGGCUCAAAGUCUAAGACGGGGCAGCCAUUGGUCCAGUCUCUGGUGGAGGGCCCCCUGUCUGGCUU